GAAUGAGGGAGGAAAAGGAAUGAGGGAGGGGAGGUCCUCAUUUGAGAAAAGAUUAGGAGACGGAAAAGGUUAGGGUUUUAAUCCCACCCCUUUUUUCCUUCUCAAUCCGUCUCAUUCCUUCUCAUUUUCCCUUCUCAAUCUGUCUCAUUCCUUUUCAUUUUCCCUUCGCAUCCUUCCGUUUUCUACCUCACCAACCCAAAAUCCCGUCCUCAAUCCUUUCUAACUCCCUGAAACUUCCCUUCCCCCUCCCUUCAUUUUCAUUCUUCGUCCCUUAUAGUACCGAUUUUGGCCUCCCACAUCUUUUUUGCUUUGUCUUCACCAGCCAGAGAUCUCGGCUAAGUGAAACAUUUCGUUGAUGGAAGCCUUUGUAUGUGUUGCCUCCGAAAUUCUUCACCAUCUACAUUUUUUGGGUUUCGUUGAUCGGCUUUUGUUUCAAUGAUUGAAGCCUCUGAACGUCAUCGUGACCCAUUUUGUUUACCCUUGUCGCUCGCCCUUUCCAUUGUCAAUUGAGGUUCCCCCUUACUGAUAAGAAUAGGUGCUUCAUAUCGUUCGAUGGUGUUUGGGUCGAGCUAGUGAUCCUGAGUACGAAGCCCGAACUUUUAAGGUACUAGGGUUUCUACAUCAUUCCACUAACAUAAGUUAUUUCGUGUCGCAUGUUCUUUUUUUUUUUUUUGACAUUCUAUUAUGUACGAAUUUUUAUCGAAAAACUCUGUAUCUGGACUUUCGUGUGGGCUUCUAUAAAUAUCUAUAUCAUUGGCAA